AUUGAACGCUGGCGGCAUGCUUUACACAUGCAAGUCGAACGGUAACAGGCCGCAAGGUGCUGACGAGUGGCGAACGGGUGAGUAAUGCAUCGGAACGUGCCCAGUCGUGGGGGAUAACGCAGCGAAAGCUGCGCUAAUACCGCAUACGAUCUAUGGAUGAAAGCGGGGGACCGUAAGGCCUCGCGCGAUGGCAGCGGCCGAUGUCAGAUUAGGUAGUUGGUGGGGUAAAGGCUCACCAAGCCAACGAUCUGUAGCUGGUCUGAGAGGACGACCAGCCACACUGGGACUGAGACACGGCCCAGACUCCUACGGGAGGCAGCAGUGGGGAAUUUUGGACAAUGGGCGCAAGCCUGAUCCAGCAAUGCCGCGUGCAGGAAGAAGGCCUUCGGGUUGUAAACUGCUUUUGUACGGAACGAAACGGUCCUGGUUAAUACCCGGGGCUAAUGACGGUACCGUAAGAAUAAGCACCGGCUAACUACGUGCCAGCCGCCGCCGUAAAAC
rnacentral:rRNA from 1 species